GAAGGCGAACAUCCGUUUUCAGUAGAUUGUCGGCCUCUUUUCGAACACGUGAAAACACGCCAAUUUAUGCCAUACCUGAUAACCAAAACGGGAACCAAGACAGGUCAGAUGAGUACAUGCCACUGAAACGUAUUCAAAGUCAACGUUCACAUGAUGCACUUCCCACUAUCCCUUCCUCUGAGGCCUUGUAUGAGGAUAUUGAUGCAGUGCCAGAAGUGGGAACCUACGCUAACAUGCCGUCUGUCGAAAACACACAUGCGCCCAUCGUUCUCGACCAACUUAUCACAUAUGUGACACAGAAGACUAAUUCAGAGUCUGGUUUUCAGGAAGAU